GUAGGGCGCAAGCGUUGUCCGGAUUUAUUGGGCGUAAAGAGCUCGUAGGCGGCUCGUUGCGUCGGCUGUGAAAACCCGCGGCUUAACCGUGGGCUUGCAGCCGAUACGGGCGGGCUAGAAUUCGGUAGGGGAGACUGGAAUUCCUGGUGUAGCGGUGAAAUGCGCAGAUAUCAGGAGGAACACCGGUGGCGAAGGCGGGUCUCUGGGCCGAUAUUGACGCUGAGGAGCGAAAGCGUGGGGAGCGAACAGGAUUAGAUACCCUGGUAGUCCACGCUGUAAACGUUGGGCGCUAGGUGUGGGGGGCCUCUCCGGUUCUCUGUGCCGCAGCUAACGCAUUAAGCGCCCCGCCUGGGGAGUACGGCCGCAAGGCUA
rnacentral:rRNA from 1 species